GGGGCGGAGGGGGCGCGGGGGCGUCGCUCGGCGCGCGGGCACGUGGAGUUCCCCUCCUCCGAGGGCGCGCUCAUGUCCAUCUCCUUCCUCACCUUCGCCGUCUUCCUCAUCAAGCUUGUGCUGCAAGUGAUCCACACGUACAAGAACAAGGCCAUGAUGAUGACGCCGGCCGUGGUGGCCAUCAGCCGCACCGCAGCCGCCUUCAGGAAACCGUAGAACCUUGAUUUAAUUAAUAAACUUACUUAUAACUACUA